rnacentral:rRNA from 1 species
UACGUAGGGUGCGAGCGUUAAUCGGAAUUACUGGGCGUAAAGCGAGCGCAGACGGUUACUUAAGCAGGAUGUGAAAUCCCCGGGCUCAACCUGGGAACUGCGUUCUGAACUGGGUGACUAGAGUGUGUCAGAGGGAGGUAGAAUUCCACGUGUAGCAGUGAAAUGCGUAGAGAUGUGGAGGAAUACCGAUGGCGAAGGCAGCCUCCUGGGAUAACACUGACGUUCAUGCUCGAAAGCGUGGGUAGCAAACAGGAUUAGAUACC